UUUGUUGUUGUUGUUGUUUUCCCUGCAGACUCUGAAAAGUACCUCUGUUCUUUGAGGACUAUCAGGGUGUUGAGCUGAGCACACAUUUCUUUGGUGAAGUGUGUUAUUUGUUGUUGUUGUUGUUGUUGUUUUCUUGAAAUGGAGUUUUGCUCUUGUGGCCCAGGCUGGAGUGCAAGCAAUGGCAGGAUCUUGGCUCACUGCAACGUCCGCCUCCCAGGUUCAAGUGAUUCUCCUGCCUUAGCCGCCCAAGUAGCUGGGAUUAUGGGCACCUGCCACCACACCUGGCUAAUU
rnacentral:lncRNA from 10 species